UGCCAGCCGCCGCGGUAAUACGGAGGGGGUUAGCGUUGUUCGGAAUUACUGGGCGUAAAGCGCGCGUAGGCGGACUAUUAAGUCGAGGGUGAAAUCCCAGGGCUCAACCCUGGAACUGCCUUCGAUACUGGUAGUCUUGAGGUCGAGAGAGGUGAGUGGAAUUCCGAGUGUAGAGGUGAAAUUCGUAGUUAUUCGGAGGAACACCAGUGGCGAAGGCGGCUCCCUGGCCAAAGACUGACGCUCAUGUGCGAAAGUGUGGGUAGCGAACAGGAUUAGAUA
rnacentral:rRNA from 1 species